rnacentral:rRNA from 1 species
AGUGAACGCUGGCGGUAGGCCUAACACAUGCAAGUCGAACGGCAGCACAGUAAGAGCUUGCUCUUACGGGUGGCGAGUGGCGGACGGGUGAGGAAUACAUCGGAAUCUACUUUUUCGUGGGGGAUAACGUAGGGAAACUUACGCUAAUACCGCAUACGACCUACGGGUGAAAGCAGGGGAUCUUCGGACCUUGCGCGAUUGAAUGAGCCGAUGUCGGAUUAGCUAGUUGGCGGGGUAAAGGCCCACCAAGGCGACGAUCCGUAGCUGGUCUGAGAGGAUGAUCAGCCACACUGGAAAUGAGACACGGGCCAGACUCCUACGGGAGGCAGCAGUGGGGAAUAUUGGACAAUGGGCGCCAGGCUGAUCCAGCCAUACCGCGUGGGUGAAGAAGGCCUUCGGGUUGUAAAGCCCUUUUGUUGGGAAAGAAAAGCAGCAGGUUAAUACCCCGCUGUUCUGACGGUACCCAAAGAAUAAGCACCGGCUAACUUCGUG